AUAGACACCUCUGCCCUAAUAAGAGGACUCACCCUGUAAGAGGGGCAUGUGGAAUGGGAGCUCACUCCAAAAGUGGAAAGGAGAAGCAAUGUCACAGGAAAAUCGGAAAGUGAUUACCAGAAGUGGGAUAAGACCAGACAGGAAAAAUACCCCAAACAAAGGAAAGUAAAGACCAUAGACCAUAUAAGAAUCACUAACAUGAGCUGCAUACGCUGGAGGCCCCUCUGCUGUCAUUAUUUUAUGUGCUGGAAAACGCUGCGAUGGGAAGACAGCCCAGUCAGAUGGGGAUGGCCUGGAAUAGGAGCCAGGAUCUCUUGGCAUACAUUUACCUCAGCCGCACUCUUCAGUGCUCUGCAUCCAGGCUACGCGGAGGCUGCAUGUUACAGGAGCCGUGCAUCCCUGAAGACUUGGAAUAAGUCAAGAUUUACAUAAUCCCAGAGACAUCCUUCCAAAGCGUGAUAGUAACUCUGUUCCAUGGCUGGAGUGGCUCCUCCAGGUGCCAGCAGCAUAAACCCACCUUUCAAUCAGUCUGCAGCUCAGAAAUACUACCUGAUUCUAGACAGGCUUUUCAACGUAAUAGGUUGAAUUAUUAUGUCUUGUACAUAAAUUAAGACUUUACAUUUUUAUAC
ensembl:lncRNA novel transcript